UGAGGAAUUUUGCGCAAUGGGCGAAAGCCUGACGCAGCGACGCCGCGUGGAGGAAGACGGCCUUCGGGUUGUAAACUCCUGUCAGGGGUGAAGAAACUUCGCAAGAAGCUGACGGUAACCCCAGAGGAAGCCCCGGCUAACUACGUGCCAGCAGCCGCGGUAAUACGUAUGGGGCAAGCGUUGCUCGGAAUUACUGGGCGUAAAGGGUGUGUAGGUGGCUGAUUAAGUUAAGGAUGAAAGCCCGAGGCUCAACUUCGGAACUGUCCGUGAUACUGGUCAGCUUGAGGCUAGUAAAGGAGAGCGGAAUGCCCGGUGGAGCGGUGAAAUGCGUAGAGAUCGGGAGGAACACCAGAGGCGUAGGCGGUUCUCUAGGCUAGUCCUGACACUGAGACGCGAAAGCUAGGGGAGCAAACG
rnacentral:rRNA from 1 species